UGUAACGGCACCCCCAGGCAUAAAAGGGGUGAACCGCCGUUUAGUAGAUCUUCCCUUCCAGAGACACAGGCACAGCUACUGCAGAACACCAAUCCGCCGAACAGGAAACCAUAUGAAUGCUGUAAACAGCCGAAUAGGAAAAACCAUACGAAUAGGUUUACACUCCUAGCAGUCAAACUGGAACAGCAUACAAUAAAUCCCCCCAAGAAC